CUUUGUGGUUCAUGACUGGGGUGAAGUCGUAACAAGGUAGCCCUAGGGGAACCUGGGGCUGGAUCACCUCCUUACGAAA
rnacentral:rRNA from 1 species